GCCUAAAGCGUCCGUAGCCUGCUUUGUAAGUUUUCGGUUAAAUCCAUAUGCUCAACAUAUGGGCUGCCGGGAAUACUGCACAGCUAGGGAGUGGGAGAGGUAGACGGUACUCGGUAGGAAGGGGUAAAAUCCUUUGAUCUAUCGAUGACCACCUGUGGCGAAGGCGGUCUACCAGAACACGUCCGACGGUGAGGGAUGAAAGCUGGGGGAGCAAACCGGAUUAGAUACCCGGGUAGUCCCAGCUGUAAACUAUGCAAACUCGGUGAUGCGUUGGCUUGUAGCUAGCGCAGUGCCGCAGGGAAGCCGUUAAGUUUGCCGCCUGGGAAGUACGUACGCAAGUAUGAAACUUAAAGGAAUUGGCGGGGGAGCACCACAAGGGGUGAAGCCUGCGGUUCAAUUGGAGUCAACGCCAGAAAUCUUACCCGGAGAGACAGCAGAAUGAAGGUCAAGCUGAAGACUUUACCAGACAAGCUGAGAGGUGGUGCAUGGCCGUCGCCAGCUCGUGCCGUGAGGUGUCCUGUUAAGUCAGGUAACGAGCGAGACCCUUGCCUCUAGUUGCCACCAUUACUCUCAGGAGUAGUGGGGCGAAUUAGCGGGACCGCCGCAGUUAAUGCGGAGGAAGGAAGGGGCCACGGCAGGUCAGUAUGCCCCGAA
rnacentral:rRNA from 1 species